GUCGUGAAGAGGGAAACAACCCAGACCGCCAGCUAAGGUCCCAAAGUCAUGGUUAAGUGGGAAACGAAGUGGGAAGGCUCAGACAGCCAGGAUGUUGGCUUAGAAGCAGCCAUCAUUUAAAGAAAGCGUAAUAGCUCACUGGUCGAGUCGGCCCGCGCGGAAGAUGUAACGGGGCUAAACCAUGCACCGAAGCUGCGGCAGCGACACAUAGUGUUGUUGGGUAGGGGAGCGUUCUGUAAGCCUGCGAAGGUGUACUGUGAGGUAUGCUGGAGGUAUCAGAAGUGCGAAUGCUGACAUAAGUAACGAUAAUGCGGGUGAAAAACCCGCACGCCGGAAGACCAAGGGUUCCUGUCCAACGUUAAUCGGGGCAGGGUGAGUCGACCCCUAAGGCGAGGCUGAAAAGCGUAGUCGAUGGGAAACGGGUUAAUAUUCCCGUACUGGUGGUAACUGCGAUGGGGGAACGGAGAAGGCUAGGUUGUCCGGGCGACGGUCGUCCCGGUUCAAGCAGGUAGGCAGAGUGAUUAGGCAAAUCCGGUCACUUAAUGC
rnacentral:rRNA from 1 species